rnacentral:rRNA from 1 species
ACUCAAAGGAAUAGACGGGGGCCCGCACAAGCAGUGGAGCAUGUGGUUUAAUUCGAAGCAACGCGAAGAACCUUACCAAGACUUGACAUCCCGCUGACCGGUUUAGAGAUAGACCUUCCCUUCGGGGCAGCGGUGACAGGUGGUGCAUGGUUGUCGUCAGCUCGUGUCGUGAGAUGUUGGGUUAAGUCCCGCAACGAGCGCAACCCUUACGUUGUGUUGCCAUCAUUCAGUUGGGCACUCACAAUGGACUGCCGGUGACAAACCGGAGGAAGGCGGGGAUGACGUCAAAUCAUCAUGCCCCUUAUGUCUUGGGCUACACACGUGCUACAAUGGGCGGUACAAAGAGACGCGAGACCGCGAGGUGGAGCAAAUCUCAGAAAGCCGUUCACAGUUCGGAUUGCAGGCUGCAACUCGCCUGCAUGAAGCCGGAAUUGCUAGUAAUCGCGGAUCAGCAUGCCGCGGUGAAUUCGUUCCCGGGCCUUGUACACACCGCCCGU